rnacentral:rRNA from 1 species
CGAUAUCGACGUAGUUUGACUCCUGGCUCGAGAGAACCGCUGGCGGCGUGCUUAACACAUGCAAGUCGAACGGUGACGAGGAGCUUGCUCCUCCGAUCAGUGGCGAACGGGUGAGUAACACGUGAGUAACCUGCCCCAGACUCUGGAAUAACAGUUGGAAACAGCUGCUAAUACCGGAUACGAGACGGAGAGGCAUCUCUACCGUCUGGAAAGUUUUUCGGUCUGGGAUGGACUCGCGGCCUAUCAGCUUGUUGGUGAGGUAAUGGCUCACCAAGGCGACGACGGGUAGCCGGCCUGAGAGGGCGACCGGCCACACUGGGACUGAGACACGGCCCAGACUCCUACGGGAGGCAGCAGUGGGGAAUAUUGCACAAUGGGCGAAAGCCUGAUGCAGCAACGCCGCGUGAGGGAUGACGGCCUUCGGGUUGUAAACCUCUUUCAGUAGGGAAGAAGCGAAAGUGACGGUACCUACAGAAGAAGCACCGGCUAACUACGUG